GACGAACGCUGGCGGCGUGCUUAACACAUGCAAGUCGAACGGAAAGGCCCUGCUGUUGUUGGGUGCGCGGGUGACGGACGGGUGAGUAACAAGUGAGUAGCCUGCCCUUGACUUUGGAAUAACUUCAGGAAACUGGGGCUAAUACCAGAUAGGAGCUCCUGCUGCAUGGUGGGGGUUGGAAAGUUUCGGCGGUUGGGGAUGGACUCGCGGCUUAUCAGCUUGUGGGUGGGGUAGUGGCUUACCAAGGCUUUGACGGGUAGCCGGCCUGAGAGGGUGACCGGCCACAUUGGGACUGAGAUACGGCCCAGACCCCUACGGGAGGAAGCAGUGGGGAAUAUUGCACAAUGGGCGGAAGCCUGAUGCAGCAACGCCGCGUGCGGGAUGACGGCCUUCGGGUUGUAAACCGCUUUCGCAGGUGACGAAGCGUGAGUGACGGUAAUGGGUAAAGAAGCACCGGCUAACUACGUG
rnacentral:rRNA from 1 species